AUGCAGUACUUUAUUGCCAACCAUUCUUCAUAGCCAAAGAUGAUGUGGCUCAAUUUUACCAUGGGCACGGGCGUGGGGAAGGCAAUUUCUCGGCCAUUUUGGCUCGCGAUCACCAUUCCAUCGCUCUCGCGGAAUGUGGUGCCCGUGAAGCUCGGGAAGCAGCAAGACAAGAUCUCAUAUAGGAUUAGACGAGAGGGCUCCGGGAGCUUGGAUGCCUCAGCCCGGAAGCGCUGUUCCAUCAGCAUCGUAGACGGAGGCUGAUUCGGAAAAAAGGGUUGGUCAUUUGAUUGGAUCGCGGAGCCAGUUACUCUGACCCCGCCUGGUUCUUGGUUGCGCCGAACGCGAGAAGAGCGUCCCCUGAAUGCUACUUACGCGUGACGGUUGCGGUCGGGAGGCCUGUGCCGCCGAUACUAUUGUUGCCGAAUGAGGUGAUCGAAACGCCGCCUACAUUGCUCAACCCUAUACCUGUUUCCAAGAAUUGUGACGUCUGUGAUGA
rnacentral:misc_RNA from 1 species